GUAGUGAGAGCAACCGCGGCACGGAGGAGAGCGACAAUGGAUAAACUAACGGGCCACGGGAGGACCGCGCUUUGAUUUAUAAUCCGUAGAGAGAUGCCAUCUCUUAUGCCAUUCACGAGAGACAAGUGAAAUAAUGGUUAAGGGAUAACACAACCUCGGAAAUAAACCACCAAUUCGACAUGGAUCGUUCCAAAACAGAGGUUUGAGCAUCGACAGCGCCUUUUAGAAACCGUAUGCCUCCGCCUGCUUCGAACGGCGAAUUUGGGAUGAGAAGCAGUUAUCGUUUUCUGUACAGACACAUGUCCUCUCUUAAUAGGUAAAUAAUCUGAUUUAAUUUCCUCGGUAAAACCUAUUCUAUAUGCUAGCCAUAUGCUUCUCAUCCUUUACCGGAACCCUUACUGUUGACUUCCACGCGGAUACGCAGCCCUCCAUUGGAUGCCAAAAGAACCAGGACAAAUUUCCUCGCAUUGAAAAGUGGAACCCAUACGAUACUCUGGCAGUAUGUACGAGAAGGAGUCGGUUGCUAUCUUUGGUUAUCUAGCUGUAUGAGUGUUACUCGGCCGUCAUAAAGCUAGCUAACCGAAUGUAGGAAUGUCCUCCAAACCUGCGAAUCGGACAGGAAUAAAUGGUGUCUAGGAGUAAAGACACAAAAUAACAUAAUUGAUAUGCAAUUACAGGCCAAUACCUCAUUGCCUUUCCGGUUGAUCCAGUGCCCUUGUCACUGCAGUGGCUGCCUGAGAUACACCCACAAACUCUGCAGUAUUAACAGCAAACUGUCUACUAAAUGUGACUGCCAGCCAUUCACACCAGGUUUGGAUUGAGCAAGGGGAAAGUGGCACAGUCUUCACAAAAAAACAGAAAGCAGGAGGGGAAGAAAAAGGCCAACCCCCUUGUCCUUCUUCCCUUAAAUCUCCAUCACCGGAAGCCUUUGGUGCCAUCUGUGCCCCUGGAGAAAAGGACGGGCGAGAUGCCUCCACCCUGUGCCAACGGGGACAAAGGAGCUGCCAGUUAGAGCGGCCCCCCCUAGCAGGCAGCCAGAGGACUCUGUGUUACUGACUGGGGCUGAGCUACGGAAGCCAUCUUGAUGGAGAGUCUUGCUGCUGCUCCUAAAAUGGCUGUGUUGGCAUGAGGUCCUGCAGGUGUUGACAACCUCUAGGGGAAGACUCUUCCAUCAGCCCUGAGCCCUGAGCCCUGUGCCCUGAGCCCUGAGCCCUGGGCCCUGGGCCCUGAGCCCAGAGCCCUGAGCCCUGGGCCCUUCCUCAUUGGCAUCCUCUCCAGUCAAACACUGAGAAAUGAGGGCACUGAAGAAUCCCCCCUAAAGUUAACAGACAAUGCUUGUAGAAAUGUACUGUAAGGACAAUGUAUGGAGAUAUUUACUGUAAGGACAAUGUAUGGAGAUAUUUACUGUAAGGACAAUGUAUGGAGAUAUUUACUGUAAGGACAAUGUUUGGAGAUAUUUACUGUAAGGACAAUGUAUGGAGAUAUUUACUGUAAGGACAAUGUAUGGAGAUAUUUACUGUAAGGACAAUGUAUGGAGAUAUUUACUGUAAGGACAAUGUUUGGAGAUAUUUACUGUAAGGACAAUGUUUGGAGUAAUUUACUGUAAGGACAAUGUUUGGAGAUAUUUACUGUAAGGACAAUGUUUGGAGAUAUUUGAAGACAUUGUUUGCAGAAGUUGCGCACAGAUUAUCUGAUGAUAUAUUGCAUGGCUGAGAGUGUAUAGUUUCAACAUAACUUUUAACAUUACAGCAGAAUGUAAAACAAUGUGUGUAGGAUGUGAAAUCAAAAGGGAUGAGAUCAACAUGUGUUCAUACCUUAAUUUAAGGACAAAUGUGUGUGUGUGGUGCGUGUGUGCGUGCGUGUGUGUGUGGGGGGGGGUUGGUCCCUACUGUACUUUUAGAGUACCCUGGAGUGUACUGGGCUUCAGAGAAGCACUACAGUGCCCUAAUGUGUGGGCUGUUUACAAGAGAAGCUCUCUGGAUGUCUAUCCUCUGUCAUGUGCAAUUAGUUACUUUAUGAAUAGAACUGACUACUCUAUGCAAAUAAAUGUGAAUGACUCACCCUCUGGCUGUAUUGCAAAUGUUGUUUGACUGUCACAGUGAAAAGAAAGACAUUGUUUGGUGAAGAUUCCAUCCAUUUACUGUAUGUCCAUCAAAUGCUGCAUUUUUCCAAUUACAAAUAUUAUCUGCAUGCGUUCAUAGUGAUCAGGGAAUGUUCUACAUGAAAUGUGUUGGAUACAGUAUUGAAACAGUCAGAUGAAUAGCCGUCUCAUUGCCUGAUUGUUAUUAUUAUCCUUAUUCAGAGAGAUAGACAGUUUUGAACAUACCUGCAAUAAAGAAAGGGACACAUACUUGUACACAAACGUCUUACAAAACAUGUUGUUGUAAUUGAGUUCUGACUUGUCAUGACUUCUGUGCUGUUUGAAUUGAAUGUGUAUACAGAAUAAAUAAUACAACAGAUGUCUAAAA